rnacentral:lncRNA from 10 species
GUUGGUUUCGGCCAUGCGGUUUGUGGUAACUGGUUCCAGCAGCCCUAGGAAUCUAAUACACUGCCCAUGGAACAAAUCCUUUCUUGACCACCAAUGGCUGCAUGACUUAUCCUGAGAAGAUCAUGGGGAUUUUGGAUGCCAGGUCAACCCUUACACUCAGCAAGGAAGUGGAAGGGCCUCAGUUUCAAACACUUUGUAAACACAGAGGUUAGGUCAUUUCCUCUCCAAUAAGCCAGAAGCUGAGCUGUCCCUGGCAGCAAACUGUGUGUCAAAUGCCUGGCGGGUUUCAGGUUUUACUAACUCCAGAGUGACGAAACAUCACCACCUCUAAUGCCAGAAAGAAGUCAGCUGUUGUACCUGUGUCACAACUAAAUUUACUGAAGUCAGGGCAGCUGAAGUAAUCUAUAAAACUUAGCAUGUCAAUUUCAAU